GGGCACGCCAAGCUUCCCCUGGUUACCUGAGCUGCUCCGGCCAUCUCCCGCCUGGGCUUCGCCGUGGUGCACCCGAUCCCGGAAUCGUGCGUCUGCGCCCUGCGAAAGAAGGACCUGCUGGCGGAGCUCCGGCCAGGGUCUCCUCCCUCGCAGCUGGGCGAGGCGACUUGGAGGACAGGGUGAAGCUGCAGAAGACCUGGGGUGGGACGGCUAGAGAGGACGCCAAGGACUGGGGAAGGGGAAGUUAGGAAUACCUUACAUCCAAUGCCCACCCGUGCUCCGCAGGGCAAGGGCAGCCGUCGCCUCGGCCGCGUGCACCCAGCUCAGGCUGUUCCCAGGGAUUUAGUCUGGGGGGUCAACCCAUGGCAAGAUGUGGUGGCAUUUUACCUCAGAGUGGAGCUGAAGAUGGAUAAACAAGGUAUCUGAUGUAUCUGCCUGAGAAGGCAGAGCUGGAGAAAGGCGGAGUGAGGGAGCGCGUGAAAAGAAAGAGAUGCUGAAUGCCGGGUGAUUGUCUGCCGCUUGCUGUGCAUUCUCAUUCUAGGGAGGAUGGCAUAAUUUAUAACCCAGCACAUGGAUGGAGGAACUGUAAAUUGCAGUCUGGAUGUCCCCGACGCUGUCAACGAAGGAACUGAUGGGCUAGGCUCACAGGCUGAAGGAAUUUUCCUUGUCUUGGAUGAGACUUUUGACUUGGACUUUUGGGUUAAGUUCUGGAGGCCAGAAGGCCAAAAUCAAAGUAUGGGCAGGCUUGAUUUCUUUAGAAGACUCCAAGGGAGAACUGUGCAUCCUUGCUUCUGAUUCUACAUCUCCAUCCAUGGGCCACUGUUUCAGGAAUCUCAGCCAGUGCAACACAACCUCAACCAACAAGAGUAUGCAGAGAAAGGAGUCCCCUACCUGCCACAAAGCUGUUGUCUGAAAACUGUAUCAUAUUGUCUCAAGUUGUCAUUCGGUGUGAAUUAGACCUUUUUAACAUGUAAUCUGCAACAUGCUUCAUUGUCUAAUUUUCCAGAACCCCUCAUAUAAGAAACUGUAUUAUUGGUAUAAUCAUCAUGGUGAGGAAGUUGGUAUGUGGGGGAGAGAUGACAGGAGCAGAGAGUAAGUCAUUGCUGGCUGCCUGACAGAUAAAAAGGAAAUGACAAAAAAAAAAAAAAAAAAAAAAAAAAAAAAAAAAAAGACACAGAAGAGUACUUAGUUGACCACACAGAAAAGGGAAUUAUAGGUAAGACAAAGAUUCGUAAGACUCAAGUUCUAGUCUUAUUUAUUAGCUAUGGGAGGCCUUGAGAGAGUUCUAGCAUUAAGUCAUCUCUCUUUAUAAAGUAGGAACAGUAAUAACUUCCCUGGCUAUCUCACAACGCUCUAGUAGUAAGAAAUAAUUUUAUAAUUAAAGACUAUUUUAGGGCUGAUUACAUUUUUGGGCAGUGGCUCAUGCAUGUAAUUUCAACACUUUGGGAGGCCAAGGUGGGCGGAUUGCUUGAGCCCAGGAAUUCAAGACCAGGCUGGGCAACAUAGACCUUGUCACUACAAAAGAAAAAAAAUUAGCUAGGCGUGGUGGCAUAUGCCUGUGGUCCCAGCUACUCAGGAAGCUAAGACAGGAGGAUCGCCUGAGCCUGGGAGGUCGAGGCUACAGUGAGCCAUGAUCACACUACUGCACUCCAUCCUGGGAAACAGAGUGAGACUCUGUCUCAAAUAAAGGAAUAUUUUACACUUCAAGGUUCUAUACAAAUGUAAAACAUCAUUCUAUUACAUAUUUAUAAUGCUGAUUAUUCUUUAAAUGACUUUAAAAUGUUAAUCUCUGCUAAGCCCAUAGAGAAGUAUAUAACAAAUUGGUGAAGGAUUGGCAUUAAAGAUAGUCAAAAUAAAACAUAGAAAUUAUGGUAAAUAAUUCAACUGGUAAAAUAAUCUAAGUGGUAGUUGUCAGGUAAGUGGAAAUUCAAUCAGCUGAUUGUUUAGGAUUCUUGGUUGUAAGUGACAGAGACCUAACUAAAAGUAUGUGAAUGAAGCACAUAACUGAGAAGUCUGUGGUAUGGCUUAGCAGUCAGAAAUGGGAAAAUAUUGGGACCAGUUCAUGUUUUAUUUAUAUUAUCUUUGUUCCCAGGCAGUCUCUGCAUGUAAGUGACAAAGAUGACUAUCUGCAAAUAUAUAUACUUUUUUGAAGGGCUAUCUCAAGCCGUUCUAGAGAAGCACUGAAAGCUUCUUAUACUUCAAGAUAGUUUGCUUUCCCUGAUUUGUGAUGAGUGGAACACUGAACAGUGAUAUAGAAAAAUAUUCUGUAGUUAAGGGGUUGUUGUAGUAUGGCCAGUGGGUGGAAUCCAGUCCUCAGCCUGAUUUUGCAAAUAAUCUUAUAGAAACACAGCAACACCCAUUUAUUACACCUUGUUUAUGGCUGCUUUGGGGUUACAAUGGCAGAAUUGAGUAGUUGUGACAGAGAUCACUAGGCUCACCACAUCGGAGAUAUUUACUGACUGACCCUUUAUAGAAAGUUUGCUGCUCUUAGAGGAAUGUGUGUUUCUAGUAUCAGCAAUAAACUUCUUGGAUUUGU